UGCAGCCCCAAAUCCCCCGAUCAAACCCCCAACCUCAAUCUCGAGAUCUCGAAUCGGAACUCCAAUGGCGCGCCUCUCGACGGGCCUGCUCCUCCUCGUCCUCCUCCUCGCGCACACCUUCUCCGCCAUCGCAGGGAAAAAUUACUAUGAUACACUGCAAGUGCCGAAGGGCGCAUCGGAGGAGCAGAUCAAGAGGUCGUACCGGAAGCUAGCGCUGAAAUACCACCCGGAUAAGAAUCCUGGCAAUGAGGAGGCUACUAAGAAGUUUGCGGAGAUCAACAAUGCUUAUGAGGUGCUGACGGAUAAUGAGAAGAGAAGUAUCUAUGAUCGAUAUGGGGAGGAGGGGUUGAAGCAGCAUGCUGG
rnacentral:misc_RNA from 1 species